ACGAACGCUGGCGGCGUGCUUAACACCUGCAAGUCGAGCGGUAAGGCCUUUCGGGGUACACGAGCGGCGAACGGGUGAGUCACACGUGGGUGAUCUGCCCUGCACUUCGGGAUAAGCCUGGGAAACUGGGUCUAAUACCGGAUAUGACCUCCUAUCGCAUGGUGGGUGGUGGAAAGAUUUAUCGGUGCAGGAUGGGCCCGCGGCCUAUCAGCUUGUUGGUGGGGUAAUGGCCUACCAAGGCGACGACGGGUAGCCGACCUGAGAGGGUGACCGGCCACACUGGGACUGAGACACGGCCCAGACUCCUACGGGAGGCAGCAGUGGGGAAUAUUGCACAAUGGGCGAAAGCCUGAUGCAGCGACGCCGCGUGAGGGAUGACGGCCUUCGGGUUGUAAACCUCUUUCAGCAGGGACGAAGCGCAAGUGACGGUACCUGCAGAAGAAGCACCGGCUAACUACGUG
rnacentral:rRNA from 1 species